GUCCACGCAGUAAACUGUGAACACUAGGUGUAGCGGGUAUUGACCCCUGCUGUGCCGAAGCUAACGCAUUAAGUGUUCCGCCUGGGAAGUACGGUCGCAAGGCUAAAACUCAAAGGAAUUGACGGGGCCGCACAAGCGGUGGAGCAUGUGGUUUAAUUCGACGCAACGCGAAGAACCUUACCUGGGUUUGACAUCCCGGGAAUCCCUGGAAACAGGGAGUGCCCUUCGGGAGCCGGACGACAGGUGCUGCAUGGCUGUCGU
rnacentral:rRNA from 1 species